rnacentral:rRNA from 1 species
GAUGAACGCUGGCGGCGUGCCUAAUACAUGCAAGUCGAGCGAACAGACGAGGAGCUUGCUCCUCUUAUGUUAGCGGCGGACGGGUGAGUAACACGUGGAUAACCUACCUAUAAGACUGGGAUAACUUCGGGAAACCGGAGCUAAUACCGGAUAACAUGUUUAACCGCAUGGUUCAACAUUGAAAGACGGUUUUGCUUUCACUUAUAGAUGUAUCCGCGCGGCAUUAGCUAGUUGGUAAGGUAACGGCUUACCAAGGCAACGAUGCGUAGCCGACCUGAGAGGGUGAUCGGCAAAACGGGAACUGAGACACGGUCAAGAAUCUAAGGGGAGGAAGCAGAAGGGAAUCUUCGGCAAUGGGCGAAAGCCUGACGGAGCAAGGCCGCGUGAGUGAAGAAGGUCUUGGGAUCGUAAAACUCUGUUAUUAGGGAAGAACAAAUGUGUAAGUAAAUAUGCACGUAUUGACGGUAACUAAUCAGAAAGCCACGGCUAACUACGUG